rnacentral:rRNA from 1 species
GACGAACGCUGGCGGCGCGCUUAACACAUGCAAGUCGAACGGAAAGGCCUGCUUUCCCUUGUGGAUUGCGGGUACUCGAGUGGCGAACGGGUGAGUAACACGUGAGUGAUCUGCCCCCAACUUGGGUAUAAGCCUGGGAAACUGGGUCUAAUUCCCGAUAGGGCUGCAGGGUGGUGCCUGUGGUGGAACACGAUUUUCUAGUGGUUGGGGAUGAGCUCGCGGCCUAUCAGCUUGUUGGUGGGGUAAUGGCCUACCAAGGCGGCGACGGGUAGCCGGCCUGAGAGGGUGGACGGCCACAUUGGGACUGAGAUACGGCCCAGACUCCUACGGGAGGCAGCAGUGGGGAAUAUUGCACAAUGGGCGGAAGCCUGAUGCAGCGACGCCGCGUGGGGGAUGACGGCCUUCGGGUUGUAAACUCCUUUCGACCGCGAGGAAGCCACCUGGUUGGAAGGGUGGUGACGGUAGUGGUAGAAGAAGCACCGGCUAACUACGUG